GGUCGGGUGGCCGAGCGGUUAGGCUCAGCUCUGCAAAAGCUGCUACACCGGUUCAAAUCCGGUCCCGACCU
rnacentral:tRNA from 1 species